CUCACAACCAGGUUGACAUCCUUAUGGGUAGUAAGGUAGAGACAGAGUCCAGGGAUUCAACCAGGUUGACAUCCUUAUGGGUAGUAAGGUAGAGACAGAGUCCAGGGAUUCAACCAGGUUGACAUCCUUAUGGGUAGUAAGGUAGAGACAGAGUCCAGGGAUUCAACCAGGUUGACAUCCUUAUGGGUAGUAAGGUAGAGACAGAGUCCAGGGAUUCAACCAGGUUGACAUCCUUAUGGGUAGUAAGGUAGAGACAGAGUCCAGGGAUUCAACCAGGUUGACAUCCUUAUGGGUAGUAAGGUAGAGACAGAGUCCAGGGAUUCAACCAGGUUGACAUCCUUAUGGGUAGUAAGGUAGAGACAGAGUCCAGGGAUUCAACCAGGUUGACAUCCUUAUGGGUAGUAAGGUAGAGACAGAGUCCAGGGAUUCAACCAGGUUGACAUCCUUAUGGGUAGUAAGGUAGAGACAGAGUCCAGGGAUUCAAAGAGCUGCCUAUCAGUGU